rnacentral:ncRNA from 2 species
ACAAAUACAUACAUCAAAGGUGUCAGAGGACAGUCCAGGCUGUCGGCUCUGAUGAAAAGGGAAACAGGUGAAAAUCCUGUACGAACUCGUCACUGUGAUAAGGGAGUUCCGGGCAGCGGGCCACUGAAUUUUAAUUUGGGAAGGCCGCCAUGGAAUGAAGAUCUUUCAGCCAGGAGACCUGCCUGAGAUAUGCGACAUAC